GAUGAACGCUAGCGGCAGGCUUAAUACAUGCAAGUCGAGGGGCAGCAUGAUUGUAGCAAUACAAUUGAUGGCGACCGGCAAACGGGUGCGGAACACGUACACAACCUCCCAAUAAGUGGGGAAUAGCCCAGAGAAAUUUGGAUUAUUACCCCGUAACAUAACGAUGUGGCAUCACAUUGUUAUUAUAGAUUUUUCGCUUAUUGAUGGGUGUGCGGCUGAUUAGAUAGUUGGCGGGGUAACGGCCCACCAAGUCUACGAUCAGUAGCUGAUGUGAGAGCAUGAUCAGCCACACGGGCACUGAGACACGGGCCCGACUCCUACGGGAGGCAGCAGUAAGGAAUAUUGGACAAUGGACGCAAGUUUGAUCCAGCCAUGCCGCGUGAAGGAUUAAGGUCCUCUGGAUUGUAAACUUCUUUUAUAAGGGACGAAAAAAGGCUUUUCUAAGUCGUCUGACGGUACCUUAUGAAUAAGCACCGGCUAACUCCGUGCCAGCCGCCGCUGUAACAC
rnacentral:rRNA from 1 species